CCGCCUGUGGGUGAGGGGUAGGGCGGGGGCGGGGCGCCUGGACUCGAACCGCGGCCCCCAAGCCCCCUCAGGGACGUCUUUCGAGGUGGGCGUCCGCUGUCGCCAAGGGGAGACGCAAGGAGCGAGGGUCACGGCACGCGGGCCCCCUGCCGAGGCCUCCUGGGGCCCACAGGCCGAAGCGCCGAGUCUUCUAGAAAACACGCCCGUCGCAGAAGACGAGCAGAGCAGCCGCGACUCGGGCAGGGAGGGCUCGCCCGGGGGGCCUCGCUGGCGGUCACGCCGUGAAGACCCUGCUUCCGCCGCAGGAGGCGCCGCUUCCACCCUCGUGGCCUGAGAGCCUCGCGUGACGCGGCCAGAAAAAGGCGCUGGCCCCGCGCGCGUGACUUUGGAGACGUUCGGCUCUGGGGUCCCACUCGCUCCCCGCUCACCUGUGGCGUCAGAAGGCAGGGCGAGGGCCCAGGCGCCCCCCGCAGCCGGGCAGCUCCGCCCGCCGCGCCCGGACUCUCAUCCCCGCCGCUCGUCUCCGUGGUCCUCCAGGCGCCGGCCCUCCCUGCCCGCCGGCUGGCCCCCGUGUCCCUCGCCGUAUCUGCACUGGUCGGCCUUGGCCUGGGGGCGCGGCUGGCUAGUCAGGACCACAAGUCCCCCCGGACGCCCCUCCCGGCGGCCUGAGGGCGUCCCCCGAUCCCGCUGAAGUCCAGGUGCGGGAGGGCAGGAGCAUCUCCGGGCCGCAUGUAGGAGACAGUCCCUGUCGGUGGGGCCCAGCUGGCCACCCGUGCCCUCCCCGUGGGCGUGGCCGCUGCCCACGAGGUGCCCAUGAGCUCCGGGGGCCUCGGCUGGGUCCUGGCUGCCAAGCGUGGCCGGGCAGCGGGCUCUCCGCGGGGCGGGGCGGGGCGGCGCUGAUUCUCCUCUGUCUGGCAGCCAGGACCCCCGCAGUGCCGGGCCUGCCCUGGGGCUGGGGGUAGGCGGGGGCCACGCGGUGCCUGGCGGGGAGCGGACACCCAGACGAACCUGCAUAAGGGUGUUUGAAGACGCGCUUCCGCCUUGUGUCAUCCUCUCCGCAUCUCUGGUCAGUUUCUGCUGCGUUCCAUCCAGAGUCCACUCUGUGUGCAAGCAGACAGCAGUCAGAUCUCUCCCGUGCAGCGAGCCAGCUUCCAACACCGUCUACACACGAGCUCGCCCGGCCCUCCUGGCUCUGUGCUGUCAGCUUCUCCACACUCGGCCCCCUUCUCUCCCACCGGGCACUUCGUGCACCGGCAGCACGCUGCUUUCAGCUGCGCUUCGUCAGGGUCCACCCUUGGGAGCAGAACCAGUAGAGCUGCGCUGUCUGCGGCUGCUGGCGUAGGAAGACCCUGUGGUGACGGCAGCUUCAUCUUGGCCGCCUUGCUGACGCUUACCGGUCAGCAUGGUGACCCUGCUCUUAGUCUUCAGGUUUCCCCGUGAAGCACAGCGCCACCUGUGCUCUUCUGGUCUCAGUUGCAGCGUGUGUGAUUUAGUUCCCUGACCGAGGACUGAACCUGGGCCCCUUGCACUGGAGCAGAGUCCUAGCCACGCGGCCACCGGAGGAGCCCCCUGCAAUGACUCUUAAAGUCGGUUGGUGAGGAUCCUCCAGCGUCUCCCC
ensembl:lncRNA